rnacentral:rRNA from 1 species
UACGGAGGGGCUAGCGUUGUUCGGAAUUACUGGGCGUAAAGCGCACGUAGGCGGCUUUGUAAGUUAGAGGUGAAAGCCUGGUGCUCAACACCAGAAUUGCCUUUAAGACUGCAUCGCUUGAACGUCGGAGAGGUGAGUGGAAUUCCGAGUGUAGAGGUGAAAUUCGUAGAUAUUCGGAAGAACACCAGUGGCGAAGGCGGCUCACUGGACGACUGUUGACGCUGAGGUGCGAAAGCGUGGGAGCAAACAGG